AACAACUAAUUUUUCUAGCACGUGGAAUAAAGAAAUGGGAUCAAAAUCUAAACUGCUCAAUAGAAUAUCAAAAUCAGCCACUAAAACAAAAUGGAAAGGAAAGAGGUGGAAAAAAGGAAAGAGUAGCAGCAGUAAUCCCGACACGAAACGAUUUAGGGAUGCUGCGAAAACUAGAUUUUUCCAACCAAUGUCUGCAGGCUCAGCAGGUA
rnacentral:lncRNA from 1 species